GAAUAGGAAGCACCACGCACAUGCUGAAUGCCUUGAAGGAAAGUGAGGUAGUCUGUAAGCAUCCUACUUUAGUAAGUAUGGAGUGAUUCCCUCUGGCAGAAAUCCCUCAUUUUGGAUGAUUUACCAACUCAGGAUCUCAAAGGCAAUAACUUCAAGCUGUCUUAAGAAGCAAUGAAAUCCAGUGGACAGUGGAGCAGGAUGUCUAUGAAGAGCAUGAGCCUCAUUUACGAUUGCUUGCAUGUUUGGUGCAAAGGAUCAGCAUGGACUCAGCUAGACAGGAUGGAUGCAGAAUGGUGCAGAGAAGAAACAGAUGGGCAACCAGCAAAGCAGCAGUGGGACAAACUUUCUAGAUCUGUUCUCACCUUUUUCUGUGGAGGCCAGAUAUUGCACCUAGAGAGAAGAAAAAUCCAGGAGACAACUGGUACACUUCAAGAAGUUCAAUGAAUUUGAUUAAUAACGGACAUGACUUGAAGAAUUAAUAAAAUGAUAAUCUGUCUGCCUCUGUGCA
rnacentral:lncRNA from 1 species